rnacentral:tRNA from 2 species
GCGAAGGUUUCGGCUACUUCUCCUGUCAAGAGAGAGACGCGGGUUCGAAUCCCGUCGCCCGCC